UACGUAGGCAGCGAGCGUUGUUCGGAGUUACUGGGCGUAAAGGGUGUGUAGGCGGUUGUUUAAGUUUGGUGUGAAAUCUCCCGGCUCAACUGGGAGGGUGCGCCGAAUACUGAAUGACUUGGAGUGCGGGAGAGGAAAGUGGAAAUUCCUGGUGUAGCGGUGAAAUGCGUAGAUAUCAGGAGGAACACCUGUGGCGAAAGCGGCUCACUGGACCAUAACUGACGCUGAUGCACGAAAAGCUAGGGGGGGCAAGCAGGG
rnacentral:rRNA from 1 species